UUAGAGGAAGUAAAAGUCGUAACAAGGUUUCCGUAGGUGACCUGCGGAGGAUCAUUCACAAACGAGUGUUUUAUGGCACUCUUUAAAAAUCCAUAUCCCCUUGUGUGCAAUGUUUGUUGGGAAAGUCUUUUCUUUCCCUUCAUAAAUAUCAACCUAUAUCUUUAACAACAUUCGUCUGAUAACAUAUUAUGAAUAUACUUAAUUCAAAAUAUAACUUUCAACAACGGAUCUCUUGGCUCUCGCAUCGAUGAAGAACGCAGCGAAAUGCGAUACGUAAUGUGAAUUGCAGAAUUCAGUGAAUCAUCGAAUCUUUGAACGCAUAUUGCGCUCUUUGGUAUUCCGAAGAGCAUGCUUGUUUGAGUAUCAGUAAACACCUCAACCUCUCUUUUUUGAUAAAAAAAAGAGAGGGUGGACUUGAGCUAUCCCAACGACCUUCACCGGUAGGCGGGCGGCUUGAAAUGCAGGUGCAGCUGGACUUUUAUCUGAGCUAAAAGCAUAUCUAUUUAGUCCUCGUCAAACAGGAUUAUUACUUUUGCUGCAGCUAACAUAAAGGAUAAUUGUCCUCUUUGCUGACUGAUGCAGGAUUUUACGACACUUUAUGUGUUGUUCAACUCGAUCUCAAAUCAAGUAAGACUACCCGCUGAACUUAAGCAUAUCAAUA
rnacentral:rRNA from 1 species